GUAGGUGAACCUGCGGAAGGAUCAUUAUCGAAUGUUCAGAGGCGACUGCUGCUGGCUCCUUCUAAUGGAGGAUGCACGUGCGCGUCCCUCGCCUUUCAUCCAACAUACACUUGUGCACUAUAGGACGAGCGCCUCCCAUUAGGAGCCGCCUCGCGCGAGCGGGGCCGAGGUCUCGAUCCUCUUAUACAUCACAUCCUGUCUCUAAUGCAUGUAAAAUGUUUUCUUAAACGAAAUACAACUUUCAACAACG
rnacentral:misc_RNA from 1 species